CGAGCACUCUAGACGGAACUGCCGUUGACAAAACGGAGGAAGGUGGGGAUGACGUCAAAUCAUCAUGCCCCUUAUGUUCUGGGCUACACACGUGCUACAAUGGCCGGUACAGACGGACGCAAAGCCGCGAGGUGGAGCAAAUCCUAAAAAGCCGGUCUCAGUUCGGAUUGCAGGCUGCAAUUCGCCUGCAUGAAGUCGGAAUCGCUAGUAAUCGCAGGUCAGCAUACUGCGGUGAAUACGUUCCCGGGCCUU
rnacentral:rRNA from 1 species